rnacentral:rRNA from 1 species
GUCUAGUAUAAGCAAUUAUACCGUGAAACUGCGAAUGGCUCAUUAAAUCAGUUAUCGUUUAUUUGAUAGUACCUUACUACUUGGAUAACCGUGGUAAUUCUAGAGCUAAUACAUGCUGAAAACCCCAACUUCGGGAGGGGUGUAUUUAUUAGAUAAAAAACCAACGCCCUUCGGGGCUUCUUGGUGAUUCAUGAUAACUUUACGGAUCGCAUGGCCUUGCGCCGGCGACGGUUCAUUCAAAUUUCUGCCCUAUCAACUUUCGAUGGUAAGGUAUUGGCUUACCAUGGUUUCAACGGGUAACGGGGAAUUAGGGUUCGAUUCCGGAGAGGGAGCCUGAGAAACGGCUACCACAUCCAAGGAAGGCAGCAGGCGCGCAAAUUACCCAAUCCCGACACGGGGAGGUAGUGACAAUAAAUACUGAUACAGGGCUCUUUUGGGUCUUGUAAUUGGAAUGAGUACAAUUUAAACCUCUUAACGAGGAACAAUUGGAGGGCAAGUCUGGUGCCAGCAGCCGCGGUAAUUCCAGCUCCAAUAGCGUAUAUUAAAGUUGUUGCAGUUAAAAAGCUCGUAGUUGAACCUUGGGUCUGGCUGGCAGGUCCGCCUCACCGCGUGUACUUGUCCGGCCGGGCCUUCCUUCUGGAGAACCUCAUGCCCUUCACUGGGCGUGUUGGGGACCAGGACUUUUACUUUGAAAAAAUUAGAGUGUUCAAAGCAGGCCUUUGCUCGAAUACGUUAGCAUGGAAUAAUAGAAUAGGACGUGCGGUCCUAUUUUGUUGGUUUCUAGGACCGCCGUAAUGAUUAAUAGGGACAGUCGGGGGCAUCAGUAUUCAAUUGUCAGAGGUGAAAUUCUUGGAUUUAUUGAAGACUAACUACUGCGAAAGCAUUUGCCAAGGAUGUUUU